ensembl:lncRNA
CAAAAAUGCUGUAUCUGGUCUAAAUAGAUCAUGAGGCAGAAUCUGAUUAGUUCUCCACAGUAUCCCUCUUCGCUUCAUCUUCGGCUUGCUCCUAAAGUGCACUUCGCAUUUCACGUAAGGACGUGCGAGGAGCACCCCGUAGAAUGUGGGCAGAGGGGAUGUGCAUCACUUCCAGAAAUGGCCCUAAAACCUGCCCUGUUACCCACGUUUGCUCCUUGCCUUCCCGCUGGCUACCUGUGUAGCCCAAGUGGAGGUCUGUGAGGCACCAAAGACGGUGGAGCCACGUGAUGCAGACAACUGGACUCCUGCACGACUCUGUGGAGCAUGGUGCUCCCCGUACUGGCACGAGAAAGAAAGGUGCAUCGUGCAAACACUGGACAUCACAAGCUCCCCCCACACCAGGUCUACAGGAUGAGGCACCAACAGCUGAGAAUACAAGUCGUGGACCAGAGCCCAGUGAAGUCACUGCUUCUGGGGCCCAGAACUGUCAUCACUGUCCUCGCAGGUCCGUGCUUCUGGAUGCUUGUGUGGACUCUGCACACCUGCGGCAUCUGGCUCACGGCUGA